UCCAGGAUCCCAUCCAGGAUCCCAUGUCACAUUUCAUUGUUGUGUCUCUUCUGUCUCCUCUGAUUUCCCUUUCUCCUAUAAACCAGUGAUAAUCACCUACACAUCCAUCAAGACCCAGGAAAGACAGAUGCUAAUGCCCGAGAGGAUGGUGAAAACUCUGCCAAAGGUGAAGGAGCCUAGAUCUUCAAAUGACUUGUGACCAAGGUCAUUCUUCCAGACCAGACUGCCAACCUUGGACUAUUUCUG